AAUAGAUACCCUGGUAGUCCACGCCGUAAACGAUGAGUGCUAAGUGUUAGAGGGUUUCCCGCCCUUUAGCGCCGUAGCUAACGCAUUAAGUGUCCCGCCUGGGGAGUACGGCCGCAAGGCUAAAACUCAAAGGAAUUGACGGGGGGCCCGCACAAGCAGCGGAGCGUGUGGUUUAAUUCGUCGCAACGCGAAGAACCUUACCAGGGCUUGACAUGUGGCGGAAAACGGCGGAAACGUCGUCCUCCCGCAAGGGACCGUCAUGCAGGUGUUGCAUGGCUGUCGUCAGCUCGUGUCGUGAGAUGUUGGGUUAAGUCCCGCAACGAGCGCAACCCCCCGUGGCAUGUUGUAUCUCUCAUGCCAGACUGCCGAGAGAAACUCGGAGGAAGGUGGGGAUGACGCCAAGUCAGCAUGGCCCUUACGUCCUGGGCUACACACACGCUACAAUGGCCCGGUACAACGGGUUGCCAAACCGCGAGGUGGAGCUAAUCCCCUAAAGCCGGUCUCAGUUCGGAUUGCAGGCUGCAACUCGCCUGCAUGAAGGCC
rnacentral:rRNA from 1 species